AGCAGCCGCGGUAAUUCCAGCUCCAAUAGCGUAUAUUAAAGUUGUUGCAGUUAAAAAGCUCGUAGUUGAAUUUCGGAAUCAGUACGCUGGUCGUGCCUUCGGUAUGUACUGGUGUCACUGAUUCCUCCCUUCUGAAGAACCAUCAUGCCAUUCACUUGGUGUGGUGGGGAAUCAGGACUGUUACUUUGAAAAAAUUAGAGUGUUUAAAGCAGGCUCGCGCUUGAAUACAUUAGCAUGGAAUAAUGAAAUAGGACGUUAAUCCUAUUUUGUUGGUUUCUAGGAUCGACGUAAUGAUUAAUAGGGAUAGUUGGGGGCAUUAGUAUUCAAUUGUCAGAGGUGAAAUUCUUGGAUUUAUUGAAGACUAACUACUGCGAAAGCAUUUGCCAAGGAUGUUUUCAUUAAUCAAGAACGAAAGUUAGGGGAUCGAAGACGAUCAGAUACCGUCGUAGUCUUAACCAUAAACUAUGCCGACUAGGGAUCGGAUGAUGUUAAUUUUUUAAUGA
rnacentral:sRNA from 1 species